rnacentral:tRNA from 1 species
GUUAAGUUAGUUUAAAUAAAAAUAUCAGCCUGUGGAUUUGAUGAUGAAAAUUAAUUUCACUUAACC